rnacentral:lncRNA from 1 species
CUCAAUUCCAGCUCUACCGCUUGCUAGCUGUACUCCAUUGCUGAGCCUUAGUUUCCUCCCUGGUUAACAGCAAAGGAAACAGCAUCUCCCUCCCAGGGCUGUGUGAGAAGAUAACAUAUAAAAACGACUUGGCACUGCUUGGCUCACAGUAAGUACUCAUCUCCACUCCCACCGGGAAGAUGUGGCUUCCCACCUUGUUAGGUCCUAAAGUAGUUAAUAAACUUCUUUGCCCAGAGAAUAAAUUUAUUUUUGAGAUUCAAAUCAGUUAAAAGUGGGUGAGGCUCUGGAAUUCAGCACUGUUUAAAAAGGUCAAUCAAGUUAGAUAGUUUUUUUACUCUACCUUCUCCUCUAUGAAGUCUUAUAUGCAUAGGAAACAAAACAUUUAUCAAGAAUUGCUUUUCAAGGUGCAGCAGAAAUGCUCCUCCUUCCAUGAUCCCUUCCCUUCCUUCUAAACUGAAAUUCUACACAGCUCUUACGGCCUUUGAUACUGUCUUGCCUGGAUUGGUGUUUGUGUACACAUGCAAUUAUUUAUAAGCUCCCUGAAGGCAAGAACCACAUCUCAUCUCUGCAUUCCCUUUAGCCUAAUUCAGGGCCUCUCAUAGAGUAGAUUCUGC